UACGUAUGGGGCGAGCGUUAUUCGGAUUCAUUGGGCGUAAAGCGCAUGCAGGUGGUCAUCUAAGUUGAUGGUGAAAUCUCCAGGCUUAACCUGGAAAUUGCUGUCAAAACUGGAUGGCUGGAGUUCAGGAGAGGAGAAUGGAAUUCCAGGUGUAGGGGUGAAAUCUGUAGAUAUCUGGAAGAACACCAGUGGCGAAGGCGAUUCUCUGGCCUGAAACUGACACUCAGAUGCGAAAGCCAGGGGAGCAAACGGG
rnacentral:rRNA from 1 species